AUUGAACGCUGGCGGCAGGCCUAACACAUGCAAGUCGAGCGGCAGCGGGAAAGUAGCUUGCUACUUUUGCCGGCGAGCGGCGGACGGGUGAGUAACGCCUGGGGAUCUGCCCAGUCGAGGGGGAUAACUACUGGAAACGGUAGCUAAUACCGCAUACGCCCUACGGGGGAAAGCAGGGGACCUUCGGGCCUUGCGCGAUUGGAUGAACACAGGUGGGAUUAGCUAGUUGGUGAGGUAAUGGAUCACCAAGGCGACGAUCCCUAGCUGGUCUGGAAGGAUUAUCAGCCACACUGGAACUGAGACACGGUCCAGACUCCUACGGGAGGCAGCAGUGGGGAAUAUUGCACAAUGGGGGAAACCCUGAUGCAGCAAUGCCGCGUGUGUGAAGAAGGCCUUCGGGUUGUAAAGCACUUUCAGCGAGGAGGAAAGGUUGGUAGCUAAUAACUGCCAGCUGUGACGUUACUCGCAGAAGAAGCACCGGCUAACUCCGUGCCAGCCGCCGCAGUAAAAC
rnacentral:rRNA from 1 species